rnacentral:rRNA from 1 species
AACGAACGCUGGCGGCAGGCUUAACACAUGCAAGUCGAGCGCAUCGCAAGGUGAGCGGCGGACGGGUUAGUAACGCGUGGGAACGUGCCCUUUUCUUCGGAAUAGCUUCGGGAAACUGAAGGUAAUACCGGAUACGCCCUUCGGGGGAAAGAUUUAUCGGGGAAGGAUCGGCCCGCGUCUGAUUAGGUAGUUGGUGGGGUAAUGGCCUACCAAGCCGACGAUCAGUAGCUGGUUUGAGAGGAUGAUCAGCAACACUGGGACUGAGACACGGCCCAGACUCCUACGGGAGGCAGCAGUGGGGAAUAUUGGACAAUGGGCGCAAGCCUGAUCCAGCCAUGCCGCGUGAGUGAUGAAGGCCCUAGGGUUGUAAAGCUCUUUCACCGGUGAAGAUAAUGACGGUAACCGGAGAAGAAGCCCCGGCUAACUUCGUGCCAGCAGCCGCAGUAAAAC